rnacentral:rRNA from 1 species
GAGUUUGAUCCUGGCUCAGGAUGAACGCUGGCGGCGUGCCUAACACAUGCAAGUCGAGCGAAGCACUUUACUUGAUUUCUUCGGAUUGAAGGUAUAGUGACUGAGCGGCGGACGGGUGAGUAACGCGUGGGUAACCUGCCUCAUACAGGGGGAUAACAGUUAGAAAUGAUUGCUAAUACCGCAUAAGACCACAGCACCGCAUGGUGCGGGGGUAAAAACUCCGGUGGUAUGAGAUGGACCCGCGUCUGAUUAGCUAGAUGGUAAGGUAAGGGCUUACCAAGGCGACGAUCAGUAGCCGACCUGAGAGGGUGACCGGCCACAUUGGGACUGAGACACGGCCCAAACUCCUACGGGAGGCAGCAGUGGGGAAUAUUGCACAAUGGGGGAAACCCUGAUGCAGCGACGCCGCGUGAGUGAUGAAGUAUUUCGGUAUGUAAAGCUCUAUCAGCAGGGAAGAAAAUGACGGUACCUGACUAAGAAGCACCGGCUAAAUACGUGCCAGCAGCCGCGGUAAUACG